UACAGAGGUCUCAAGCGUUGUUCGGAUUCAUUGGGCGUAAAGGGUGCGUAGGCGGCGCGGUAAGUCGGGUGUGAAAUCUCGGAGCUUAACUCCGAAACUGCAUUCGAUACUGCCGUGCUUGAGGACUGGAGAGGAGACUGGAAUUUACGGUGUAGCGGUGAAAUGCGUAGAUAUCGUAAGGAAGACCGGUGGCGAAGGCGGCAUCCUGGACCGACACUGACGCUGAGGAGCGAAAGCCAGGGGAGCAAACGGG
rnacentral:rRNA from 1 species